GGGAUGUUUUGAUGCUGUAAAGCUGCAGGGGGACAAGUACGCAGUACCUUUAGCGAUAGUUGGUAUUCUUCAUGCAUUUUUAGUGCUUAUUAGCUUGAUCGUCGCUUACUGUUUCUACCGAAGGAUGUAGCAGUGGGUUUGUAAGCUAUAACCAACAACAGCAGUGUGUAUAACAUUAACUUGCU